rnacentral:rRNA from 1 species
UUUUAACGCUGAGGUGUGAUGACGAGGCACUACGGUGCUGAAGUAACAAAUGCCCUGCUUCCAGGAAAAGCCUCUAAGCAUCAGGUAACAUCAAAUCGUACCCCAAACCGACACAGGUGGUCAGGUAGAGAAUACCAAGGCGCUUGAGAGAACUCGGGUGAAGGAACUAGGCAAAAUGGUGCCGUAACUUCGGGAGAAGGCACGCUGAUAUGUAGGUGAAGCCCCUGCGGGUGGAGCUGAAAUCAGUCGAAGAUACCAGCUGGCUGCAACUGUUUAUUAAAAACACAGCACUGUGCAAACACGAAAGUGGACGUAUACGGUGUGACGCCUGCCCGGUGCCGGAAGGUUAAUUGAUGGGGUUAGCGGUAACGCGAAGCUCUUGAUCGAAGCCCCGGUAAACGGCGGCCGUAACUAUAACGGUCCUAAGGUAGCGAAAUUCCUUGUCGGGUAAGUUCCGACCUGCACGAAUGGCGUAAUGAUGGCCAGGCUGUCUCCACCCGAGACUCAGUGAAAUUGAACUCGCUGUGAAGAUGCAGUGUCCCCGCGGAAAGACGGAAAGACCCCGUGAACCUUUACUAUAGCUUGACACUGAACACUGGGCCUUGAUGUGUAGGAUAGGUUGGGAGGCUUUGAAGUGUGGACGCCAGUCUGCAUGGAGCCGUCCUUGAAAUACCACCCUUUAAUGGCUGGUGUUCUAACGUAGACCCGUAAUCCGGGUUGCGGACAGUGUCUGGUGGGUAGUUUGACUGGGGCGGUCUCCUCCCAAAGAGUAACGGAGGAGCACGAAGGUUAGCUAAUCCUGGUCGGACAUCAGAAGGUUAGUGCAAUGGCAUAAGCUAGCUUGACUGCGAGAGUGACGGCUCGAGCAGGUGCGAAAGCAGGUCAUAGUGAUCCGGUGGUUCUGAAUGGAAGGGCCAUCGCUCAACGGAUAAAAGGUACUCCGGGGAUAACAGGCUGAUACCGCCCAAAGAGUUCAUAUCGACGGCGGUGUUUGGCACCUCGAUGUCGGCUCAUCAAAUCCUGGGGCUGAAGUAGGUCCCAAGGGUAUGGCUGUUCGCCAUUUAAAGUGGUACGCGAGCUGGGUUUAGAACGUCGUGAGACAGUUCGGUCCCUAUCUGCCGUGGGCGCUGGAGAAUUGAGGGGGGCUGCUCCUAGUACGAGAGGACCGGAGUGGACGCAUCACUGGUGUUCGGGUUGUCAUGCCAAUGGCACUGCCCGGUAGCUAAAUGCGGAAGAGAUAAGUGCUGAAAGCAUCUAAGCACGAAACUUGCCCCGAGAUGAGUUCUCCCUGAGCCUUUAAGGCUCCUGAAGGAACGUUGAAGACGACGACGUUGAUAGGUCGGGUGUUUUAGCGCAGCGAUGCGUUGAGCUAACCGAUACUAAUGAACCGUGAGGCUUAACC